GUGCCGCAGCCGCGGUAAUACGAAGGGAUCUAGCGUUGUUCGGAUUUACUGGGCGUAAAGAGCACGUAGGCGGAUUGGUCAGUUGAGGGUGAAAUCCCGGAGCUCAACUCCGGAACUGCCUUCAAUACUGCCAGUCUAGAGUCCGUAAGGGGGUGGUGGAAUUCCGAGUGUAGAGGUGAAAUUCGUAGAUAUUCGGAGGAACACCAGUGGCGAAGGCGACCACCUGGUACGGUACUGACGCUGAGGUGCGAAAGCGUGGGGAGCAAACAGGAUUAGAAACCCCGGUAGUCC
rnacentral:rRNA from 1 species